rnacentral:rRNA from 1 species
GAUGAACGCUGGCGGCGUGCCUAAUACAUGCAAGUCGAGCGAACGGACGAGAAGCUUGCUUCUCUGAUGUUAGCGGCGGACGGGUGAGUAACACGUGGAUAACCUACCUAUCAGACUGGGAUAACUUCGGGAAACCGGAGCUAAUACCGGAUAAUAUUUUGAACCGCAUGGUUCAAAAGUGAAAGACGGUCUUGCUGUCACUUAUAGAUGGAUCCGCGCUGCAUUAGCUAGUUGGUAAGGUAACGGCUUACCAAGGCAACGAUGCAUAGCCGACCUGAGAGGGUGAUCGGCCACACUGGAACUGAGACACGGUCCAGACUCCUACGGGAGGCAGCAGUAGGGAAUCUUCCGCAAUGGGCGAAAGCCUGACGGAGCAACGCCGCGUGAGUGAUGAAGGUCUUCGGAUCGUAAAACUCUGUUAUUAGGGAAGAACAUAUGUGUAAGUAGCUGUGCACAUCUUGACGGUACCUAAUCAGAAAGCCACGGCUAACUACGUG